rnacentral:rRNA from 1 species
AACGAACGCUGGCGGCAUGCCUAACACAUGCAAGUCGAACGAGACCUUCGGGUCUAGUGGCGCACGGGUGCGUAACGCGUGGGAACCUGCACUUAGGUUCGGAAUAACUCCCCGAAAGGGGUGCUAAUACCGGAUAAUGUCUUAGGACCAAAGAUUUAUCGCAUUUGGAUGGGCCCGCGUUGGAUUAGCUAGUUGGUAGGGUAAAAGCCUACCAAGGCGACGAUCCAUAGCUGGUCUGAGAGGAUGAUCAGCCACACUGGGACUGAGACACGGCCCAGACUCCUACGGGAGGCAGCAGUGGGGAAUAUUGGACAGUGGGCGAAAGCCUGAUCCAGCAAUGCCGCGUGAGUGAUGAAGGCCUUAGGGUUGUAAAGCUCUUUUACCCGGGAUGAUAAUGACAGUACCGGGAGAAUAAGCUCCGGCUAACUCCGUG